rnacentral:rRNA from 1 species
GACGGGUGAGUAACACGUGGGCAACCUGCCUGUAAGACUGGGAUAACUCCGGGAAACCGGGGCUAAUACCGGAUAAUUCUUUCCCUCACAUGAGGGAAAGCUGAAAGAUGGUUUCGGCUAUCACUUACAGAUGGGCCCGCGGCGCAUUAGCUAGUUGGUGAGGUAACGGCUCACCAAGCAACGAUGCGUAGCCGACCUGAGAGGGUGAUCGGCCACACUGGGACUGAGACACGGCCCAGACUCCUACGGGAGGCAGCAGUAGGGAAUCUUCCGCAAUGGACGAAAGUCUGACGGAGCAACGCCGCGUGAGUGAUGAAGGUUUUCGGAUCGUAAAACUCUGUUGUUAGGGAAGAACAAGUACCGGAGUAACUGCCGGUACCUUGACGGUACCUAACCAGAAAGCCACGGCUAACUACGUGCCAGCAGCCGCGGUAAUACGUAGGUGGCAAGCGUUGUCCGGAAUUAUUGGGCGUAAAGCGCGCGCAGGCGGUUCCUUAAGUCUGAUGUGAAAGCCCCCGGCUCAACCGGGGAGGGUCAUUGGAAACUGGGGAACUUGAGUGCAGAAGAGAAGAGUGGAAUUCCACGUGUAGCGGUGAAAUGCGUAGAGAUGUGGAGGAACACCAGUGGCGAAGGCGACUCUUUGGUCUGUAACUGACGCUGAGGCGCGAAAGCGUGGGGAGCAAACAGGAUUAGAUACCUGGUAGUCCACGCCGUAAACGAUG